GGGAGAGCCAUGACUGUCAUUUAGUACGCUUAGAGCACCUCCCUGUACAUACGGUGAAAAUAAGAACCAUGCCCUGACUUGGGGUUUCCGACCUGAGCAGGACACAAGCCACAGGAGGGCGAAAGGCAGAGGUGCAAAAGAUUCAAAGCAAGCAAAUAGUUUCUAGCAGUAAUCCUGUAUGGUGCAAAGCCAACCAUAAUCCUGUAUGGUGCAAAGUCAACUUUCAAGCACGAAGCAACAAAGAAAACAAGUACAUGCAUGUCCGGCUGAGAAUCUGCCUCCCAUGGCUCUGCUUUCUGGCUCCACUCAAGGUGCCAAUACUUUGACAUCAGAAGUUGGCAUCCUGGGCAUUUCACUUUGCCAGCUGGCACGGACAUGCUACAAGAAGCUAUCCAGAGACUGCUUAAAAAGGCAGGUACCACGGGUUUUUACCAAUGGGAG